rnacentral:sRNA from 1 species
UCGUUAUUUUCUUCUUCCUCUUCUA